rnacentral:lncRNA from 13 species
AUCAAGACAAAAGAGAGUAAUUCAGAGGUGACCUAGAAGUCUCCUGAGAUUCAUCAAAAACCAACAUUCACACACACAAGGCUCAAGAUCUGGGGCAGCCUGAAAGACUGGCAUUUGGUCAUAGUCCCCUGAUGGAGGAAAGUGUACUGGCAAAGAAGUACUGAGUGACUAAAAAAAAAAAAUUAAAGAUAAUUCUCCAAGUGGAAGAAAUACGAUACCAGGCAGAAACCUAACCUACACAAAGAAAUAAAGAGCACUGGAAACUGAAAAAGUAAAGUUUA